GAUGAACGCUGGCGGCGUGCCUAAUACAUGCAAGUCGAGCGAACAGACGAGGAGCUUGCUCCUCUGACGUUAGCGGCGGACGGGUGAGUAACACGUGGAUAACCUACCUAUAAGACUGGGAUAACUUCGGGAAACCGGAGCUAAUACCGGAUAAUAUAUUGAACCGCAUGGUUCAAUAGUGAAAGACGGUUUUGCUGUCACUUAUAGAUGGAUCCGCGCCGCAUUAGCUAGUUGGUAAGGUAACGGCUUACCAAGGCGACGAUGCGUAGCCGACCUGAGAGGGUGAUCGGCCACACUGGAACUGAGAACCGGUCCCGACUCCUACGGGAGGCAGCAGUAGGGAAUCUUCCGCAAUGGGCGAAAGCCUGACGGAGCAACGCCGCGUUAGUGAUGAAGGUCUUCGGAUCGUAAAACUCUGUUAUUAGGGAAGAACAAAUGUGUAAGUAACUAUGCACGUCUUGACGGUACCUAAUCAGAAAGCCACGGCUAACUACGUG
rnacentral:rRNA from 1 species